rnacentral:lncRNA from 1 species
UUUUUUUUUGUUCAACAGGUUUAGGAAAUGCAUUUUCGAAAAAAAUUCAAAAAUUCAUUUUCAGAAUAAAUUUAAUUAUAAAAUUGGUACAUGACUCAAAACGAAUGAAAUAUGUAUGUUUGAGGUGCGUCUUGAGAUGCAUUUCUGAAAUCUGAAAGAAUAAAAUUUUAAACAUAUAAAAAUGAAAUAUGAGAAUAAAGUUUUAAACAUAUAAAAAUGAAAUAUGUGUGUUUAAUGUGUUUGUGACAUAUAUAUAAUGCAUUAAAAAAAAUGUACCGCCUAUCAUACUAAGACUUAAAUGAACUGUUUUCCUGCAUGUAGGGCUUGGCCAAGACAAAUUUGUAGGAUUAAUAAGAAAUAUAUUUAUAAAGAGUUAUAAAGAUUAUUUUUAUAGAGAUUCUUAUACAUGUAAUAAAAAACAAAUUCUCCAAAAAAGAUCUUAUAAUUAGGAAAUUGUUAUACACUACAUGUAAUUAAACUGGGUAGAGAUCCUUUCAAUUUCUUUAAAGAAAUGGAAUUAUCCACUACUAUACUUUUAGAAUACAAAUAGCUAAUAGUUGUCACCAAAUUUUAAAAUGUCUACAUUUAUUUAUAUCUUGUAUUCACCUAAUUUAAUAUAUAUUUUAAUCAUUUUAUUUAAUUUAAUAUUAUUUUUUAGUCCUUUAAAUAAAAAAUAUUAUAAGUUAGUCCUUUAAUUUCCAUUCUAUUAUUUUAUUUGGUAUUUUUGAUAAUUUUUAGAUAAAAAAUAUUAAGUUCUUGUGACGUGACGUGAUAACAAUGUUAUAGAUACAAAUUUUAGCAUCACCAGAAUUUAAGGUUUUUUUGUCAAAAAUUGAUGGAAGAGACUAAAUAGGAUAACCGAAGUGAAAUUAAGGAACUAACUUAUAACAUUUUUUAUUUAAGGGAUUAAAGUAAAAUAUUAAAUUAAGUUAAGAGACUUGAUGAUUAAUUAUGUCUUUAAAAAUUAUUAAUUUAUUUUCUUAAUUUUUUCUGUUUAAUAAAUAAAUGAUUUUAAUUAUUUUAAUUAAUUUUUAUACAAAUAUUUAUUUAAAAAUUAAAUAUUACAAACUCUAAAAUAUAUAUUUAGGCCUAACGUACAGUAACCCAAUACCAAUAUUAUAACAAAUAUAAUGUGAAAGUCUUAUAUAAUCACUAUUCUUUGGUAUUGAAAUUUCGAUGUGGACUUAAAUUGUACAUGUCACUGUUGAUAUUGAUUGAAAAUAUAUACGUUGAUACUAUUUAUAGAUAAUUGAAUAUGAUUAUCGAUGAAAAUAAUAUAAAAAUUUUUGGAGUGUAGCUUCAAAUGAGUAUCUGAGUAUAGUCUUUAUAUUGGAGUACGAUUGUCAAUGAAGACAAGACAAACUUAUAUAUUAUUUUUAAUAAAUAUGAAGAUUAUUAGAAUUAGUUGAAAAUAUGGAUGAUGAAUAAAUCCUAUUUCAUUCAAUUUUUUUAAAUGAAUAGAGGUAAUAUAAUAUAUAUAUUAUAUAUAUAUAUAUAUAUAUAUAUAUAUAUAUAUAUUAUAUAUCAUAUUUUAUUAAUAUUAUAAAUUCUUUUAAGUUCCAUAUUAUUUAAUUUUGUGAAGGAAGAGAGAGUCAAAGAUAUAUAUGAUUCAAGUUUUUUAUUCCAAUAUGCAUCGAUCAAAAGCAUUUUAAACUUGUAUUUGAUUUUCUUUGUUCUCUUUUUGGAGGGAGAAUGUGGAUGCAAAUGUAAGUGAUUAAAGUCUCACAUUGUCUAUGAAUUGGUGGAGUGUUGGAUUUAUAAGAGAGAUAACUUAUUUACCUAACACCUUAAGAUUUUGGGUUGAAAUGUAAUGUUUUUCUAUUGUGAUCGUGGAGCAUUAGUCUCAUUGAUGCUCUUGAACUCCCCAAUAGUGAUACAGAGUCUGGUUCGGCUUGUGGGGGGAGCGGAAACUGAAUCCAGAUAGAUGAUAUGAGAGACUUACAUUUGUGGGGGAGAACGUGGUGUGAAAGUAUGAGUGAUUAAAGUUUUACAUUAUUUAUGAAUGAGUGAAAUAUUAAAUUUAUAAGAGAGACUUCAUUUAUUUAACACUUUUGUUGAGAUCUCAUUGAUGUUUUUGAGUCUCCUAAACUCCCAAACAACCGCAACUACAAAUCAAACAGCUUUUGCAAAAGUGUAUUAUGGUGAAGUACCUAAUCCAUACAAUAAGUUUCAUGAGCAUAUGUAUAUGACUAAAACAACAUAAAAGUAACUCCUUAUGCAGAGGUGUAUUACGGUGACAAAGUUUGAUAUUGUAUAUAUGAUAACAGUUGUAGAAAAAUCAUGUCACUUAAUCACUAUCUUUUUGCAUUUAAAAGCAUCUUUGCUUAAAAUAUUUGGAACGAUCUACGUCUCUAGGUGAUAUUGAUGACGUGUAUUUAGACACAGAGGAAAAGUAUAAGAAAUUAAUUAAGCAGGUUAUUGAAUUAUAGGAAAAAUAUAUUGAUGUCGAUGCUUAUAAGAAAUUUGAUACUAAAGGAUCAUAAAAUUAAUUUUUUAAAUAAAAAUUAAAAAGUUAUUAAAAUGAAUUUAGAGAGACCAAAACUGCAUUUAAGUUAAUAUUUAAUUUAACAAAAUAUUAUUUAAUACUUCCACGUUUCAAAAUAAAUAUCAUCUUUUUAUAAAAAAAAUAUUUUUCAUAUUUAUUAUAAAGUGUAAACAAUAUGAAAAAAUUAAUAAUUUUACUAAAUUAUUUGAUUGAAUAUUAAAAUAUUUCCCAACAUCAGAAAUACAAAAUAAAAUAAAAUAUUUUAAGAGUAACACACAUAAUUAAAUAAAUUAUAUUAAAAAAUUAAAACACUAUAUUUUGAAACAAAUUUAUUUACUAAAGAAUAUAGAUAGAGUAACAUGAUUUGAUUAACAAACAAAACCAAGGCUAAAUCUCAUAUUUAAUUAACAAAAUUAUAGGGAUCAUUUACUUUAACUUGUAGUAUAAUUUUAAAAAAUUUAAUAAAUCUCCAUUUUAAAAAAAAAAAUUGUUUGAACUAAAUUGUGGCCAUGAAUGAUAGAUAGGGUGAUGCACAACAAUUUCAAAGGGAAGUAUUUAUUUUUUAUUUCUUUGUGCCGUUAUUUUCGGAUAAUUUAAUUGAUAGUUAUGCAUGAAUAUCAGAUCUAAUAGAAGAAUGCAUAUUUAAAUCCGUAAUAUUUCAUUUAAUUAUUUUUUAAAAAGCAAAUUCAAGUGAUUAAACUAUUUAAUAAAAGAAUUCAGCUAUUAAAUUAGUUGGAAAAAAAAGAUCCUCUUCAAUUCAAUCAUGUCUAAUUGGCUGUCAUAUCUUGCAGCUCACUUCUUUUCAACAAAAAAGUCAUUGCUUUUGCUUAAAGCAUGGUAUGAGUGGCUUAAUCCAACGAUUAAGUAGGAACAAGUUUGAAUGAAAGACAUCAUCACUAUUAUUAUUCUCUUUAAUUAAAUUAAAUCUUGCAUCAUUUCUAAACAAACAUCCAUUACCAACAGCACACUUUUGACCAUAUAUUUGUCUUUAAUCUCAUUGUUAAGAAGAAUCGUUUUUUAAUGUCUGCAAAAUAAUUAAAUAAAUCUGUCACUAUGAAUAAGUAAAAUUCAUAUUUAUUUUACCACUAUUAAUAUGUGGUUAACUUACCUGAUAAAACUUUAAAAAAUAAUUAACAGGACUUUGAUGUUAAGUACCAAACUCGAUAUUUCAUACAAAAUAUAUUUAUUUUCGUUUUUAAAUUCUUUACUACAUAAAAACAAUUAUGGAAUCGCAUAUAUCAAAAUUUAGAUACAAAAAUUAGAGAUUCUCCGCAAUAAAAUAAAUUUAAAAUCAGUCAUUUAAUUAUUUUGAUUUUGUUUAUCCUACACCAUAAAAGGACGGAAUUGGAAAAUAUUGUCAAUGAAGUAGAAUAUAAAAAAUGAUAAGUAAUUAAGUAUAUUGAGUUAAAAAUAAUGUUAUAUUUUGCAAAGGAACUAAAUAUAAAGAAAGUGAUUAAAAACAGUUUUUAUUAAAAUCAAUAUAUUUAAUAUAAUUAGAGGGGACUAUACUCUUAUUUGGGAUAGGCAAUAUUUAAUUGUGUCCCUAUAUAUCAAGAUGCUUUAAAAAGGUAUUGUAAUUAUUAAUUAAUAAAAAGAUCAAUUAAAUAAAGAAUAUUAUACUGUUCGUAAGUAAAAAGUUGUAAUAUUUAAGAAAGAGUUACAAUACUUGGUGAAAGGGUAUGUUUUAUCAAGGAUGACAAUACUUAGUAAAAAGUUGCAACACUUGAUGAGAUAACGAGUUUUAUCAAUGGUCGCAAUCUUGUGAAACAAUAUCUUUUAAUCUAUAAAUAAUCUGCUUCGGAUCCAGAAAAAUAUACUACUUUGAACUCUCAUAUUCCUUGUUUAAAUUUUAGAUUUCUUUCUUCCAUAUAUUUGAGUUUUCAUAUGUCUUGUGCAAAUUCAAAGUAGAUUAAAUUAUCAUGAGUAUUCUUGCGUGUAGUCUCUGAGAUAAAAUAGAGAGUACUUAAAAUACUAUUAUGAAAAUGAUUAUAUGCACAAUUCUAGCCUUGAUCCAUUUAACUUAAAAAUAACUUCUAACAGUCUAAUAAUAUAUCAAAUAAUGACAAUCGGGAUUUCCGUUAAUAUAUUAAAUAAUGGCAACUGAGGCUUCUGUUUCAAGCAUCAAAGUGAUGAACAAAGACCUUGUGAAGCUGGAUCAUUUUGAUGGGACAAACUUCACUCGCUGAAAAGAAAAGAUGAUCUUCCUCCUUAUUGCUUUGAAGAACUUCCAUGUACUGGAUCCUGAACUAGCACUCAUUGGAUGUAAGUGGGUCUUUAGAAGAAAGUAUCAUGGUGAUGGCACACUAAACACCUACAAAGCUAUAUUAGUAGCCAGUGAUUUUAGACAAAAGGAGGGUGUUGAUUACCUCAACACAUAUGAUAGCAAGGACGACGACAAUUAGAGUAUUAUUUGCAUUAGCUUCUUUGCAUAACCUUAUAGUUCGUUAAAUAGAUAUCAAAAUAGUAUUCCUAAGUGGAGAUAUCGAUGAGGAAAUUUACAUGAAGCAACUGGAAGGCUAUGUGUUUCCUGGUAAUGAAUAAAACGAGUAGAACAAUGCCUCAAACAUCUUAACCUCAAUUUAGAAGACGUUCUCGUCAGGUUCCACAGUUUCAACAUCAUUGCAUAUCCAAAAAGAAGCUUUUGAAAAACUGUUAAAGACACAUAUUAGUUGGUUUAGAUCUAAUGCAUGCCUUAAAUCACUUGGCAUAAAGGUUUUCAUCUUCUAAAAAGAAGGAAGACCUUACCUCCAUUGGUCACACUACCACAUCAGGAAUAAAUACCUCAAUCUAUUACAUGCCUUAGAAAGGUUUCCAUUUACUAUAAAGAAACAAGACCUUACUUCCAUUGGACUCACUACCACAUCAACAAUAAAUACCUCCGAGUGCAUUUACUCUAUUUUUUUCUCAAUUUCUUCAAUGUAAAACAUGGCAUAACAUUUGAGACAAUGAUCCCAUCCAUGAAAACUAUUCUCAACAUAUUACCAUUGAACAAAACCUUGAUAAGAAUGACUUCAAAUGUGUGACCAUUUCUCUAGUGGGCUUCUCAAAUAACACCCUCAAUUUCUUUAACUUAAGCUAAUGGAACCCACUUAGUGUCUUCAAUGAAUACAUCUCAUUGCAUCUCAUUUAUUUGGGCUUCUAUGCUUUAGAAUUCCCAAGAGGUUAAUCCCAUAACUUUUAUUUCAGUCAUGACGAUGUUAGAUUUAUCUCUAAGUCGGAUAUAUAAUAGGUAAUCCUCAUCAUAUUUCAUUUAAUAUCCCAAUUUGAGACAGCCUAACCCUAGUAACUUCUUUAAUAUUAUUAUAUUUUCACAAUUAACUUUCUCUUUAACUUUCAAGGGUGUUUUUUGUUAGCUAUAAGCUCUAGGUAUGUGAGACUUUGACCAAAUUCUUCCAUGGCUACUAUAUAAGCACAUUCAUCUACCUUUUACUCAUUUCUCAUCAGAAGUCAAGGACUUGCUCUUGUUAGAGUCAUCAAGUGGUACAUCUAAUCUUGGCCAAAGUGAACUCAUUGUCUAACACCUUUAUCACCUCAAGCGAUUAUAUCUUCUUUUUCCAUGGUCCUGGAUUUUUGUAAUGAGUUGUAGAAUGUGAUUAUUUUUUGUAUAGAUCGUCUUAUUUAUCACCUUCUCUUUUUUUUCUACUGAAGGUGGUUGCAUAAGGUGAAUUGGGCCUGGCAUUCUCACCCACUACCCAUUUCCAUGAAGGUGGUGGUUAAUCCUUCAUGUUAAAGUUCUUUCCUGACUACAUGUUAACACCAAGUGUAGCCGUCACGUGGUGAUUGAAAAUUUAUAAUGGUACUUGUUGUAGUAUUUCAUUAGCAUGAUAAAAAUUCUGUUGAAGUCUGAAAAUGAUAAAUUUGUUAUUGAAGUGUGAAAAUUUAAUCGUGAUUCGACUGAUAACUAUUUAUUUUUUCUUAAAUAAUAUUUCUUCCAUUCAGAAAAAAAAAAUGUAAAUAUAUAAUUAAAUAUAUUAUAAAUAAAAAGAUAAUAAUUAUUUUAACACUGCACUCCAUCUUUCACCUCUGGUUGAGAACAUAGAAGUCAACCUAUAAUAGGUUGAUCUUACCAAGGCGGUUAUCGGCAGAUUUCGAAUUCCUUUGAAAACCCCGUUCAUGCAUUCCACAAUGUUUGUUGUCAUGUGGCCCCAUCGCACCACCGUCAAAUGCCCUUGUCCACUGCUCUACUGGUAUGUUAUUUAUCCAUCUCCCUGCGUCUUUAUUAGACAGUCUAAUUUCAUCACGAUAAUAUUGAAAUGACGUGAGUAAAGCAUACCCGCUCACCGCCUUCUUGCGAAGAUUCUUAUCUUUGAUUGCACGCAUGAGUUUUAUGCAAUGGUCUGAUACAGUAGACAUGUGUAGAAGGAGGAUCAUGUCAUCCGUUGUCAUGGUUGUUGUAGGCACUCUCAAUGGCAGCAUGUCUAUCAGAAAUCAAACAGAGAUUGGCUUGUGGAGCCACAUGCGUUCUGAGAUGUCGAAGAAAGAAACCCCAUUCAUCAGCCGUUUCACCUUCAACAAGAGCAAAGGCAAUGGGAAAGAUAUUGUUGCUACCGUCUUGUGCAACCGCCAUGAGCAAAGUACCCUUGUAUUUUCCGUAUAACCAAGUGCCAUCAAUUUGAAUGAUAGGUUUGCAGAAUGCGAAACCUUUGAUGCACGGGUCAAAUGCCCAAAAGAGACGGUGAAAUAUUCUAUUACCUGUAGCACAGGUUCCGUCUGGCAUCAUUGCUGGCAAUGUCUCCAUAAUUUCCAUAGUUCCUGGGACAUAUGUUUUUAGUGCCCAUAAAAACCGUGGCAAUUCCUUGAAUGAAUCCUCCCAGAUGCCGAAAACCUGUUCAACAGCCUUUGUCCUCGCAAUCCAGGCUUUCUUGUAAGAUGGAGUAUAAUUAUAUGUUGUUCUGAUAUGGGAUAUAAUUAUACUCACCUUCACUGAUGGGUCUUUAUUUACCAAUGGCAGAAUUGUCUUGAACAUGAUUCAAAGUUGCGCCUAGUUUAGGUGAAUCUUGUUUCAACGUUAGUUGCAACUGCAACUGUGCGGUGGGUCUUUGAAGCGAUCUCCCAAGAUUCGUUUUUCUUCUGUAAGACGCAGCCAAACGAACUUACAAAGCAUGUUUACGAUCAUUCGAUAACAAUACCGUUCUAGAAAUCAGGUGCAUUUCACUGUAAAGUCAGCAAUUGUUAUGUGGAAUUUUUUUGAUUGCCAGAACACAUUCUUCUUUUGGUACGAAACAUGUCUUCCACACCUUUAUUCACCUUCUGAUCUCGGGAAUACGAUUAUAGAAAACAUGUUGGAUGUUUAUCGUCGUGAAGAUCCAUAUUUGUCAUAUGUUAAGGCGGAUUGUAGACAUGACUAGGAGGUAUUGUGUGUGGUUGAUUCAUCAUCUUCAUCGUCGUUGUUCAGCAUGUGAUCAACCUGUAUCUUCGGUCUCCUCUUCUUCUUCAUCAACAACGUCGACUUCUGCUUCUGCUUUUGGGUUUGAGUUCAUCUGACCAUUGUGCAUCAUCUUCACCAGCUUCAUCCAGAUCGGUUAGUUGAGACUGUUGAGAUGGUAUACAUGGUUGAAGAGUAAUGUACAACACGAUACGUUGCAGCCCUAAUGUUCAUGACUAACAAACAUGUAUUCAACAUCUUCAUUGUCUCGUACCUUAAGGGGGAAAUACUUGCAUUGACCAUUCUAAAAAAAUAUUGGAUUUUGAUAUGUGAUCUUUGACACAAUACCCGAUCCUAUAAAGGAUUGCAUUCUUUUUUUCAAAUGCAAGAAGGUUGCAUUUCUCUUGAUCGUGAUUCUAAUGGUAUCAGUGUUUCGAAAACAAAAACCAUGUAGCUCAGACUCGAAUGUUUCACCGUUGCAAUGAACGUUGACACUGUAUAAUGAUGAAGAUGACAUUGUGCAGAUGAAAACUAUUUUCUUACUGCAGAUGAAUGUGAGUGAAGUGUCUUGGAUGUUGAUAGUAAGCCACUUAAAUAGAUGGUAUCAGUGUCUCACAUGCUAGCUAGUUCUGAGAUGAUGUGUUGGACAUGCAAGUUAGUCUGAGAUGAUGUGUCGGACAUGCAAGCUAGACUGAGAUGAUGUGUCAGUCAUGCAAGAUAGUCUGAGAUGAUGUGUCAGCCAUGCAAGCUAUCAAGAAGUGAUUGUUCAGCAUGCAGGAGACAAGACAGCCACGUGUCGAACAUAUAAGAUAGUUAGAGAUGAUGUGUCAACCAUGCAAGCCAUCAACAAGUGACUUGUUCAGCAUGCAGGAGACAAGACAGCCACGUGUCAGACAUGCAGACACACACUCCAAAUGGAUUGGCGCCUCCAUUUAUUCCUUGUACAUGGUCGCCAAUUCAAGUGGAGACACCAUGCAUUCAGACCUCGAAACCAAGCAUUCAGACCUAGCAUUGCAUGCAUGUCCCUAUGGAGGCGCCAAUUUGAAUGGCGACCCCUCGUAAAGCUUGUACAUGGUCGCCAAUUCAUAUGGAGACACCAUGCAAGCACAAAUUUUCAUGCUCUCAUCCAUUUACCUAUAAAUACAUCCACUCCUUCAACACUUCUUCCACACCAUCACUCUUACUACUUCCUCUACAAUACUUCUUUUACAAUUUCAUCUUCAACAACAUCUUCUAGUUUCAUCCACACCAACCCCCCAACAAAAUGUCGUUACUCACAAUGGGCGAAGCACAUAGAGGAACGGUUGCAAACAUCGCAACAUAUGUAAGUUUUUUCUUUUGUUAACUAAAAUAGAAAGUAGAAGUGGUUGGGGUAAAAUAAAACUGUAUCCAACUUAGUCAAGUGUUUUAUUCUUUCUUUUAUAGGAUGUAUCAAGGUUUCGAACUCGGGUCCACGAAUAUGUCCAGAUGGACCCGAUGAUUCAACCUUAUGUUGAAGUCGCCGGUUUUGGUCAUAUUAGCAAGAUUAUGUCUUGGUUUAUAGAUAACAAGUUCAUUCUAGCCUUAUGUGAAAGAUGGAGGCCAGAGACACACACAUUUUGAUUCCCAACCGGUGAGUGUACCGUGGCGUUAGAAGACGUCAACAUGCUUUUAGGACUACCAAUUGAAGGCAAGGAUGUUAAUGGUAAGACCAACUAUGCAAAUUCAAUUUGCAUGGAGCUCUUAGACACUUAUUUGUUAGAUGAUAAUGCUAGAGGUCAAGGUAUACUACUCUCACGCCUAAAGUCAUAUUAUAAUAGUUUAUACUUAGAUGAGCAUUCUAUCGAAGAUGCUCGAAUAAUAAAAACUAGGUGUAACAUUAUGUUGUUAAUAGGAUCCUUUUUAUUUCCCGAAGGUAGUGGUUCUAGCAUGCAUAUUAUGUACUUACCUCUACUUAGACAUGUAGAUAGUUAUCCUUCAAUGUCAACCCCUAGACGAACAGAAGCCUAUCUCUAUAGCUCGUUGUGCAAAAACUCCCACAAAGACACAUCUACAUUUUCUGGAUGUGCUGUUUUGCUACAAGCAUGGGGUUGGUCAAGACUAUCGUCUCUAGCACCGGUUAAUAACAACCCUUUCACUUUUCCAUAUGCACAAAAGUAAGUUGUUUAAAUUGCUAUAUCUUUACUUAGUUCCUUAAAGUUUAUUACCUCAAACUAUUUUUUUUUAACUUUUUGGUGUAGAUGGUCGGCACAUGGUAUGAGUUACAACAGAUGUCCGAGACACUAUAUUACUCAGUAUCGCAACCUGUUGGAUCACCUUCGACCGACAGACGUAAGCAAAAUAACUUAAUUAUUUCGUUAUAUUUUGUUAACUUUUUCUACAUUAAUUAUAAUCCUAUCUUCUUUAACAUUUCAGUUCAUUUGGCGUCCAUACCUUAAUCUGGAUCGUGACCAUGAGGUCAACGCUGAAGACGCAGCCGUAUGGACAACAUGCACACCGAUAAUACGAUUCACAACUGUGGAGAUGCACAACACCGAUCGUGUGAAGCUGCAGUUCGGUAUGGUCCAGAAUAUCCCAGAUCCCACAGCUAGCCUAGGAGAAUGGCAUCUGCGUAAAGUGAACGACCAAUGGAACUUCAACCCUUGGCAAAACUUCGCAAGAUCAGAGUGUCGCAAGUGGAAGCACCGUCAUGACCAUGUCUUAACUGACACAGUCAUGCCAAAUGAGGUAAAACCAAGUCCUACUUAUAUGGCUUGGUACAGAUCGGUUGGUUUUCAAUUCAUCGCCGAAGAUAUGUACCUCUACGACCCAGCCAGGCAAGUUACACACAAGAAGGAUCAACAUCUAACCCCCAACAACAUUCUCAGCCCGGUUACUCACAACCCCCUAUCCGUCAAACUUUCCGUUCUACAAACACACAAACAUACAACCAAAACAUGUCAUUCACCCAACCCCAAUACCAAGAGCAUACCCCAUACCACCACCAACAAAUUGACCAUCAACCUGAGACCCAACGUCGCUUCACACCCACACCAUCACCCUACCAAAGUCGCGUUAGCUAAAACACCAACCGCCUCUCCUCCUACCGUAGCCAAGAAGCCCAAACAUCACAAAACCAAAACAUCCCACAACCCUAUCUCUACCAAACACCCCAACAACCUUUCCUCGACGCAUCAUUCACACCCAUGUCUCCCUUCAACCGUCUCGAUCGCCCAUCCAUGAGUCAACCACAUCCCAACUUCUCUGGCAUGGGUCAUGAGCUCAGCUACGGCGGUACACCAUCAUUGCAUACUGAAGACUAUGCUGAGUUGUCUGAAUACCUCAACGGACCUUCUACCCAACUUCUCUGGCAUGGGUCAUGAGCUCAGCUACGGCGGUACACCAUCAUUGCAUACUGAAGACUAUGCUGAGUUGUCUGAAUACCUCAACGGACCUUCUCUUGUAGUUGGUAGUGACGCUCCUGACCCCUCAGAUGAUCAAACACCGAUGCAGAAUCGUCAACGUGAGUUAGGACCAAGGGUUAGGGUAGCUAGAGGAUGUGGCACCGGAGGUCGGUUAGAUGAUCCCGAUCAUCACCAUUAGGUUUCUUUUGUGUAAACUCCAAACUUUAUUAAUAUCAAGUCGUAUUAUAUCAAAUUUAUCUUUAACUUAUACCAUAAAACACACAAAAAAUGUAUUUUAUGAGGAAUCUCCAAUUGAAGAUGACCCCACUUUUGAUGUGUUUGUCAAAUGAAGAUGAUCCCAAGAGCAAAAAUGUUCUUAAGGACCAUAUGAACAAGACCAUAUGAACAACUUUCAUGUUCAUAAAAAUUUGAUUUGAAGCUUUGAAGGUCAUCAUCAAUUUCAAAACAUUAUAGGUCAUUUUGACUGAAACCCUAAUUUUAGGUCAACUUCCCAAGAACAUAACUCACUCAUUUUUCGUGAUUUUGAGAUGGAAUCAAAUGCAUUGGAAAGUUUAAGAUGUCUACUUCAUUUGUUAUGUUGAGAAAAUUUUCAUAAUCCUAAAAGAAACACAUGUGAUAAUAGAAAACAUUAUAGGUCACUUUGGAACUUCAAGUACAUUGAAAUGUGAAAAAGUCCAACUUCAAGUGCCCAUAACUUUCUCAUCAAAAAUUCAAAUGAUGCAAAAUUUAAAUCCAAAUUUAUUGUCUUGAAAAGAUCUACAACUUUUAUGUUGAAGGUUUUGUCAUUUGAGGCUUUUAGAAGGAAUCUCCAAUUGAAUUAGCGACUCCUCUUAAAACCUACACAUAGGCACCAAUUGGAUUGGCUAGGGCACCUGCCCUAGUCAAUCCAAUUGGCGCCUCCAUUCAAGUUUUAAGAGAAACCGCCAAUUCAAUUGGAGACUCCUCCUAAAAAUGGGGUAUUUUGGAAAAAAAAUUAAAACUUGAGGUAUUUUGGAAAUUUUCUUUAAAAAGUGGGUUAUUUGGAUAAAAAAAACCGUUUAUGCCACCGUUGAUAUGAGAUUAGGGAUAGAAUCAUGUUAUUUAUAAACAAAUUAAGGAAAGAGUUAUGCUAUUUUUACAGCAUUUUACUUCGGCAUAUUUAAAUUUCACCGUAUAUGUACAAUUAUUUUAGUGUUGCACAAACAAAAAAUCAUUAAAAAAUGAUGAGUAGAUAUUUAUUAUAUAAUGUUCGGUGUAGGUGUGUAAUUCUUAAGGAAAAGGGAAGGGAAUUAUCACUAGGUGAAGUUGAGGCUAUUUUACCCCCUUCCAGUACCAGUAAAGAUCCAGAAUCGAAAGGGUCCAAUCUUUUUCCCAUUCUAGUCAUGAAAGAAUUUGAUAUCAGGUUUACCUAUUUCCUAGAAAACUUGUCAGGAUUCAGUUUUAAUCAAGGCAUGAACACUAACCUAACGGAUCCUUGUCAAGUAUCAAAAGGCUUCUAAAGCUUCAGCAUAAUUUGAGAACAUACGCAACAACUAUGCUCCGGUACUGUAUAAUGUCAUAGAACACUACUCUGAUCAUGAAAGAAUAUAUGACAAGGAACUGCUUAGGAGAAUAUGUGAAACUUGUAAGGGCUUAAGUUUUAUCUAUUAGUAAAUUUAUUAGACAAGGACAGACAAUAGAUUAUUUUAAAAAAUGUAUUACAUUACUGACGGGGUGUUAAAUUAUCGGCAAACAUGAAGUUUCCAGCAUAAACAUAACUACUUAAGCACACUAACAAAUUAAGAUUCUACAACAAACCAAAUAAAUUUUGAAACACAGAAAUCAUGUGGCAUGUUUUUUUAAACACUUAAAAUCAAAUGUUAAAGAAAUAUAACCAACCUGAUUAAAUUAAAUGGGAAUGAUAACUAAGUGCAAAACCAUCACAUCUUUAUCAAAAAUACCAAAUUAGUCUUAACUCCAACUCUCAAAAUAACUUAGAACAACAAAAACAUAAUAAAUUGGGAGAGGUAGAAAACCAAGUGCAAUAAAACACUUAGCACUUGAUCUCCUUCAAAGCAAAAGAAAAAUAGAGAAAAGUUGGGUCAGCAGCACCAUCCUUGUAGUAGGCAAAGACCAAGCUACCAUCAUCAUGCAUGCUCUCAC